GUUUGUAAAUGCACCAAUCAACACUCUGUCAAAACGGACCAAUCAGCACUCUGUAAAACGGACCAAUCAGCACUCUGUAAAAUGGACCAAUCAGCUCUCUGUAAAAUGGACCAAUCAGCAGGAUGUGGGUGGGGCCAAAUAAAAGCAGGCCACCCGCGUCAGCACCAGCAACCUGCUGGGGUCCAGUUCCAGUCUGUGGGAGGUUUGUUCUUUCGCUCUUCUCAGUGACUCUUGCUGUUGCUCACUUUUUGGGGCUGCGCUAAUCUUUAUGAGCUGUAACACUCACUGCGAAGGUCUGCACUUCACUCCUGAAGACAGCGAGACCACGAAGGGAGACCACCGGGAGGGACGAACAACUCUGGAGUGCCAGCUUUAUGAACUGUAACCCUCACCGCGAAGGUCUGCAGCUUCACUCCUGAAGUCAGCGAGACCACAAACCCAGCAGUAGGAAGAAACUCCAGACACGUCUGAACAUCAGAAGGAACAAACUCUGGACACACCAUCUUUAAGAACUGUAACACUCACCACAAGUGUCCGCGGCUUCAUACUUGAAGUCAGUGAGACCAAGAACCCGCCAAUUCCGGACACAGUAGCUGGGAUUACAUGCGCCCGCCACCACACCCAGGCACUGAGAGUGGCAAGGCCAAAUGGAGAAAAAUAAUUCAGUCGACUGAGAAAAAAACCUCUUUCUAGCAAAACAAGAUCCAAGAAAAGAAAAACGUAAAGGCCU
rnacentral:lncRNA from 1 species